rnacentral:tRNA from 1 species
GCGGGAGUAGCUCAGGUGGAAGAGCGAGAGCCUUCCAAGCUCUAGGUCGCGGGUUCGAGGCCCGUCUCCCGCUCCA